UUUUUUUUUUUUUUUUGUGUUUAGCUAUUCGAUCGAAAAUUCUUUUGAAGCAUGGCGAUGAAUUCUAUCAAGAUGGACAGUUUAUUGGGCAUGUUAACUAUGCGAUUACAAGAUGAUAAUUUUGUGAAAUGGUCCUUUCAAUUUUGAUCUAUUCUUGAAGGUUAUGACCUAUUUGAGCAUUUUGAUGGUUCCUUUGUGUGUCCGUCGAAGUUUGUGGUUACUAAGGAGACUGGGAUUACUACUGAGAUUACAAAAGCCGAUAAGGAGUGGAUUAAACAAGAUAGAGCUCUUGUGAGUCUAUUACUUGCUACACUUGGUGAUGAAGCUGUUGAGUAUGUUGUUGGUUGCAAAACUGCUCAUGAAGACUGGACGAAUCUUCAAGACCGGUAUGCUACUGUGUCUAGGGCUCAAAUUAAUCAUUUGAAGACUGAGCUUCACACUAUCAAGAAAUGGGCUAAUAGUGUAGAGAAGUAUAUGCUCAGACUUAAGGCUUUUAAAGAUCAAUUAAUUGCAGCUAGUGAAGUAACAUUUGAGAAUGAUCUAAUUAUAGUUACUUUGGCUGGCUUACCUGCUGAGUUCAACAUGAUUCGAACUAUGAUUGUAGCUUGUGAGACUCCAAUUUCCUUUAAGGAAUUUAGGGCAUAAUUGUUAGCUGCUAAAAGAACUGCUAAAGAUCUCAUUCUACUUUGACUUUUCCAAUGUCCGACAUGUAUUGCCAUGGUGAAUCUUCUAAUGCUGCUCAAAACUCUUAGAGGUCUUCAUAAUAUUUUGAUGAAGGUUAUGGUUAUGUUGGUCAAAGUCGUGCUGAAUCUUCGAGUAAUGGUUCCAGACCAAAUGGUGGGCUAAUUUCUCAAGCUCAAUUGCCUCCAUUUCAUCAAUAGGGAAAUGGUCAUUUUCAAAAUCAAAGGAAUUAUCAAAAUUAUGGCAGCAAUAAUGGAAGAUUUAAUAAUCGACCCAGAUCUAAUAGAGGUAACAAUGGCAGAUUUUCUAGGAAUUCCACCAUGCCUUCUAAUAAUUUUGGUAACAGUGGAGGAAUUGGAAUGGCAACAUUGGUUCUAAGUCUACUCUGAUUCCUAAAUGUCAAAUUUGUAAUAAGCGUGGGCAUACUGCACCAAAUUGCUUCUCUUGGUAUUUUGCAAGUUCUAGCACUGUUCCUUCAAUUCUAGAGUGUCAAAUAUGUGGGAAACGAGGGCAUACUGCUCUUAACUGCUACCACAGGAGCAAUUAUGCUUAUCAGGAUGCUCAACCACCAUAUUGUCUCACUGCUAUUACUGCACAAACAAAACCAAGUUUUGCUUCUUCAUAACCAAAUUGGGUGCUAGACACAGGUCACAUGAUAGUAGAUUUGGAUAACUUGACUCUGGUGGCCCCUUUUGAAGGAAAUGAACGAAUUACAGUGGGUAAUGGUUAAGGACUUCCGGUUGCUUGGGUUCCAUUUUCACUCCUUCGAAACUAUUAACUUUGCAAAUGGUUUUACAUGUUCCUAAAUUCGUUGCUAGUCUAUUAUUUGUUGAUAGACUGUGUAAAGAUAACCAUUGUUAUGUUAUUCUUGAUGAGUUUGGUUUUUGGGUGCAGGACAAGGCAACAAAGAAAAUCAUCGAAAGAGGAAGGAGUAGUAGUAGUGGCUUGUAUUACAUCCCUCAGCAACAUUUUUUCCAGUAUUCUCAGCUUUUGGACACUCCACCACAUGCUUUUUUAGGGAAGCUUGUGAAGUCUUCUAUUUGGCAUCAUCGACUUGUUCUAUAACCACGAGUUCAGCUAUUUCAUCUGUACUUGAUUCCACUUUGCAAAAGUUAUCUCAUACCAUAGUGUCUGUUGUUUUACCAAGGCAUUUGAAUGAGUUUGAGGAACAAUUAUCAAAUAUGGGAGUGCCAUCUUUGUCUUCUCAAAGUUCCAGUGUAUCUGCCAGUUUAGAUAGCAUCUCAGCACAAGUUACUACUCCUACUACUACUCUACUAGCAACUUCUUCUUCCUCUCAAGUGUUGCUUAUCCAUACUCAGACCCCAACUCAAGUAUCUUUUUCUUUUCCUGAGCCAUGAUAGGAGCAUAUUUAUGCAACUUAGUUAGCUUGUCUCUUGGUAUUUACUUAGUUUAAUUCUAGUUAUUUUAGUACUUUAAGCUAUUUUCGUGUGUUUGUAGGUUCAAAUAACAAAGUUACCAACAAAGUGCUAUUUGGAGCCUUUUGGAGCCUUUUUGGGCCAAGAUUGGAUAGUGCAAGCAUGGAGACAUAAGGAUGGAUGUUUUUGAAGAUUUGAAGGCUAAAAAUCAGCAUGUGUGUGUGCAAGUGUGUUGACCUACAACUCCAAACAUCCAUCAAUUACACCCAUUACAUCCACUCAUUACCAAACACUCAUCCACUACACCCAUUACAUCCACUCAUUACCAAACAUCCAUCCACUACACCCAUUACAUCCACUCAUUACCAAACACUCGUCCACUACACCCAUUACAUCUACUCAUUACCAAACAUCCAUCCACUACACCCAUUACAUCCACUCAUUACCAAACACUCACCCACUACACUUAUUACCAAACACUACACAUUACCCACUACACCCAUUACAUCCACUCAUUACCAAACACUACUCAUUACCAAACACUCGUCCACUACACCCAUUACAUCCACUCAUUACCAAACAUCCACCCACUACAACCAUUUCAUUACCAAACAUCCACCCACUACAACGAUUACAUCCACUCAUUACCAAACAUCCACCCACUACAACCAUUACAUCCACUCAUUACCAAACAUUCAUCCACCACACCCAUUACAUCCACUCAUUACCACAACACUUAUCACUACCACCUUAAUUAGACGGUGGUCCUCCCUAGCCUAUAAAUACAUCCACCCUUCACCAUAACAAUGGGGAAGAAAACGAGAGAGAACACAAUCCACCCAUCCACCCUUCACCAUAACUCACCUAUAUCCAUCCACCACCAUAAUUUACCACUCAUCCAUCAAACCACACCUUGUGCCACAAAAAAGAGAAAAAGGAGGACCCUUGGACGUGUUUGCCAUUCAAGUUGGAUUGUUGAAGCGUUUUUAGGUGUUUUCUUUCUUUUGUUUUCAAUGUGUAAAUUUGUUUAUCUUUGCUUUGUAAGUAUGAGGAACUAAACCCCCCCCUUAGCUAGGGGGAAUUCGAAACCAUGUUCAUGCUUGCAAUAUGAUUUGAUUACCUUCAGUUAUGAUUUCAUAAGUUGUGAAUUCAAUUUGUUUAACUGCUUGAUUGAUAACUUAUUCGUGUAUGUUUAUUAAGAGUGCACACUUAGUUUGCAUGCAUGAAUAUGAUGCUAGAGUAUAAGGGAGUUUCACCUAAUAGUUACAAACUUAUAUUCACAAGUAGUGGAGGUCGCUUAUAAACGAUCGCGUUAAAUAAAUUUUUGGCAGGAGUUUCAUGCUCAUCAUAGUAACGAAUGCCUCGUCAAUACUUAUAGUUUUCAUAAUGCUUAAUGAUCUUUGAUUGUAUCUUUAUUGUGCUUUUCACGUAAAAAACUUUUGAAGAAUGCUUGAAUUGUUGUAUGCGCUUUCCUAUCAAAUUCAAUAACUUAAGGAGAACUUGAAGGUUAAUUUAAGCGGACUUAAUUAACCUGGGGUGUUGAGUUUCAUGAUUGAUCGAAAGAACAACUGAAAAUUGGUUUAUGUGCAAAUAUGUCAUGUGUGGAGAAGAACCUCUUAGCUAGCCUUCCAUCCAUUCAAUUUACUCAAAUUCGUGCAGAUUUCAUUAGUUCUUUAAUUUACUUGUUUUGUUUUCAAAUUCGUCAAAACCAAAACCCCCUUUACUUUAAAGUGUUUUGUUAGUCAAAAUCUGUUUUGAUUUGUGUUUUAGGUGUCCCAAAAGUGUGUUAGAGUCCAAGUCUGCCCAGUUUGUGUUUUUAGGCAGAUUGAGCGUUUUUAGCUUGUUUUGAGUCCUUUGAGUUUGUUUUAAAUUCUUUGAGUCUAGUUUAGUGUUUUUAACUUUGUUUAUAUGUUUUUAAGUCAGUUUAGAGGUUUUAGUAAGCCUUCCUAAUCCCCGGUUUAGAACGAUCCCUACUUGCAUUUAUACUACAAUUUGACAACAAAAGGGUUUAAUUUGUGUGUUAAGUUAAAAUUCGCAUCAAGCCAUCUCAUACAUCUACAGAGUUUGAUACUCAAAUUACUCAUUCAAAUCAUGAACAUGAUGUGUCUAACACUGUUGUGCCUAGUAAUGUAGUAGUUGUUUCUUCUGAUCAUAAUAUGGUUACAAGGUUGAAAAGUAGUGCAAUCCAAAGAAGGAACUAUGCAGCUUAUCAUGCAUCUUUAUCUGAUAAUGAGUUUACCCUUCUUUCACAUACUGAUGAUGUAGUCUUUUGUGGUUUUACUUCUGUGUUGGAUACUCAUGAUUCUUCUGAGCCUUCUCAUUAUAAAAAGGCAGUUCUAUCUCAGCACUGGCGCAAUGCUAUGACAGAAGAAUUUAAUGCUCUUCACAAACAAGUUACUUGGGAGUUGGUACCUUAUCCAAAAAAUAAAAAUGUCAUAGGUAGCAAAUGGGUGUAUAAAAUCAAGAAAGAUCAAGAUGGCAAGAUAUUGAGGUACAAGGCUCGACUUGUUGCACAAGGAUAUAGUCAAUAACAAGGCUUGGAUUAUGAAGAAACGUUUAGCCCGGUUGUUCGACAUACUACAGUUAGGCUUGUUUUAUCUCUUGCUACUAUGCAUAAGUGGGACUUAAGGCAAUUAGACGUGAAAUAUGCAUUUUUACAUGGUGAAUUACAAGAAGAGGUGUUUAUGAAACUAACUCAAGGGUUUCAAGAUCCUUUAUAUCCUAACCAUGUUUGCAAACUUCUCAAAUCUUUGUAUGGUUUAAAACAGGCACCACGAGCCUGGAAUGCAAAGUUUACCAGUUAUCUUCCUACUUUGAAGUUUCAGUCUUCUCACUCUGAUCUGAGCUUGUUUGUGAAAUUCUGUGAUGGUGAUGUAGUAAUUCUUCUUUUAUAUGUCGACGACAUUAUUAUUACAGCAAGCAAUUGAUGAUUUGGCCUCUGUAUUUGACAUGAAGGACAUGGGCAAACUCACUUAUUUUCUGGGACUUCAAGUUACCUACAGAGAAAAUGGGGAUAUUUUUCUUAGGCAGUCAAAGUAUGUCAUUGAUCUUCUUAAUAAGGCAGGUAUGGUGCAUUGUAGGCCUUGCUCCACUCCUAGUAAACCUCAUACACAGUUAUUGAAGGAUGAAGGAGAAUCAUUGUCUGAUCCCACAGUUUAUAGAAGUUUGGUUUGUGCAUUGCAAUAUUUGACCUUUACUAGGCUAGAUAUUGCAUAUGCAGUCAAUUAUGCUUGUCAAUUCAUGAAUAACCCAAUAGAAGAUCAUUUCUGUUUGGUGAAGCUGUGCAUACUUAGGUAUUUGAAGGGUACUUUGACCUGUGGCAUUACUUAUUCAGCUACUGGAAAAUUGGAGUUGCUUGCCUAUAGUAAUGCUGACGCAGCUGAUAUCAAUACUAGACGAUCAACAACUAGAUAUGUUGUUUUCCUAGGAUCUAAUCUCAUUUCUUGGCAGUCAAAGAAGCAAGGCAAUGUGUCUAGGAGUUCAACAGAGGCUGAAUAUAAAGCAUUGGUUAAUGCAACAGCUGACAUUGCUUGGAUUCGACUGGUUCUUAAUGAUCUUCAUAUGUUUCUUCCUUGUGCUCCUGUGUUGCAUUGUGAUAUUCUGUCUACAUUAACUUUGUGUUCUAAUCCAGUCUUUCACACUCGGAUUAAACACUUAGACACUGAUUUUCAUUUUCUUCGUGAAAGAGUACAAAAAGGGGAUAUGGAGGUUCAGUACAUUCUUAUAGAUGCUCAGAUUGCAGAUGUCUUAACAAAAGGAUUACACAAUCCUUUGUUUGUUCGUCAUUGUUCCAAUCUCAGACUGGGUUAUCCCAGCUGAGAUUGAGGGGGAGUAUUAACAAAAGACACUUCAACAUUUGAUUAACUUAGUGGUUAAGUUUUAUCUAAAUACUAUGAUUUUAAAGUCUUUAAAUAUAGUCUUUAAAAUCACAGCUGUUAUCCAAAUAUAUAUAGUCUUUAAAAUCAUAGUUGUUAUAUUUAGAAUCAUGUUUAGCCUCCCUCUCGGUUGGAGAUGUUUUUUGUCACAUGGCUAUGUUUGGCCUAUGGUCAUUUGGCCCCUUCGGUUGGAGAUUGUAUGAAAUAUGGUAUGGCACUGUUCAUUAAAAUAUAAUUUCUUAGAGGGCUAUAGUGUUAAAAAGAGUCAUCUGGCCUUCUUUCGGUUGAAGAUGGCCUCAGUCUUUCUACUUGGGCAUUUUCUAUUAUAUGGAAUUAAUUUGAAAAAAAAAAAAACAUAAAUGCAUCCUUCGUGUUUCAAAUUGAAAACAAUUCACAAAAACCAGUUUUUUUCCCCACUAAGCAAGCAGUUUUUUUUUUUUUUUUUUGUUAUUUAUCUUACUUUUAUAGUGUGUGUGUAUAUAUAUAUAUAUAUAUCCAAAUAGAUACAUAAAAGAAAUUUGGGGCUAGUAAAUCAGAGGUCCUAGGCAGUCGCCUUACUCAGCUUCCCUCAAGGCUAGCCCUAUGUCACUAUAAGAGCAUUUCCAACUGUUGCUUAUAAGCAAGGGCAAAGGCAAUGCAAUUGCCCAAAACACCUCCAACAGGACAAUAAAAGAAAUAAAGGCAAGUGGUGGACCAAGCCAUGCUAGCCCAAAUGCCCAUGUAAGUUAAGCAUUGCCUUCCUCAACAGGCAUGGCUGACUCAGCCACGGUCUUUACGUUUUUUCCAAUUUGUAACACAUGUCCAAAAUCAGGGUGUGAGCCAACAAAACCUGCAAUAGUAGGCCUUGUUGCAACACUAAUUGAAGAGCCUAACGGCUCUAUGACGUGGCACGAUGAGAGCCGUUGGAUUUCCAACAACCUGAUGAUCUGGACUAUUGGAUUUUCAAUGGUAAAGAAUUUAAAAAGUUAUCGAUGCACCAUGUUGCACGUUCUAGUGCGUCAGAUUCAACAAUAAAAAAAAUCAAACGGUCAGGAGUAAUUUGAUUGUUAAAAAUGGAAGGAAAAAAAGAAGAAGAUGGCGAUGCAACAAAUACGGAAGAAGAUUCAUACACAAUUUGUCGAGCUGAUUCAACGCAUAUCCAGGUCUGAGCUAUCUCUAUUGAGUAUAUGCAAACAUCUAAGUAAGUCAACAUAGAGAGUUAAAAUCUGGGCAAGAAGCCCUCACAAAAGCAUAAUCUAUUUAUCAAAAUGGCAAUAAUAUAGCCAAUAAGGUAAUAACAUUUUAUUAUUAAUAAAUUUCAAAUGUGAUUAACAUGUUAUUAUUUGGACCAUCAGGUAAUUAAAAGUAAUCAUUGAUUAUGUAAUUUAUAAUGUUGUUUCAUAAUUCUUUGCUUUGCAUUUGAAAUUAAAUUAUUAGAGUUAAACAUGGAGUUUUACUUUCAAAGAACAAACUUACAAAGUGCACACUUAAACACUUACAAGGCAUAUAUAAAUAAAUAAUAUAUAUUUGUGAAUAAUAAUCGCCCUUAUCUGCGACAACUCGUCCUUAAUUUUAAGUUUUAUAAAUUUUAAAAUAGUGAUUUUAUGAAAAUGCCCUUAGAGGCAAGGAUGUUUGACUUUCGUUGACCAUUCGAAGUCACAAUUAAUGUUUCCGAAUAGAUUUUGAAGCUACGAACGCAUAGGCAAAAGCCGUUUGCGAGUUCGGAUUAUAACAGUAUAGUUACGGACAUUUGAAGUCGUUUCAUUAAACAAUAGAUUUAAAGGAAUAUAAACUCCCACCUUGUGGGAAAGAGGCCAUUCAGGCUAAAGGGAAGGAACCAAUCAGUUAAAUGGUGGAGGACCAAUCAGAAUUUAGGGGGGAGUGAGCAACCAAUCAAAGAGAAGGAGGAAAAAAAAGAAAAGAAAUGAAGCUUUCCUUCUCGACGACUUGUGCACCUGCACAGGGCUCAACCAAUUCCGCCAACUUUCGCCAUUUUCCCCAUCAAACCGCCAUCAUCCAACACCUGCAAUCCUUUCCACAACCUCCCCUCUACCAUCUCCACCCAAAUUCGAAGGUUUUUAAGUCCAAAACCGUGUAGAACCUCACCGGAGCACCGGAGGUGCUUGACGGUGAUUCCUCCGAUCCAGUGAGUUUCACCACCCACCACUACCCUUAAUCAACUCCCCUUAGACCCAGGAAUAAGAUCCAACCAGUGAUAGGGGCGUUGGAACACCGGCAAAGUCGAAUCGAUGAACACCUAUUAUAGGGUUUCAGACGGGUUCGUGGCGAUUUGAGGUUUUUUCGGCCAAAUUGGACUUGGCCACAUAUAUAAAACUUGCUCUACUCAUUGAGAUCUUCAUUUAAUUGAAAUUUGAGAAUUUUUAGAAAUAGUUUAUUUUUCCGGCGAGUUGGGACGGUCGACUGUCGUUUGCAGCGGCAUGUGGGCCGAGGCACCCCCUAACCUUCCUAAGCUAAGUUUGAUACCCCAAUUCCAUAUGUGAAGUCAGAUUGAUGAAAUCUCAUCGUUUGAACAUAGUUUUGAUAGAGACCGCUACUUGAUCCUUGUAUGAAUUGACGAACCGACCGUUGGAUCAUCACCAAAAUUUAAUAUAUUAUAGUAUGUAAUAUUUUAGGAUAUUAGAAACUUACGGAUUGGGAAUCCAACUUAUGGAUCUUCCUAAAAUGGAUUUGUAAGUUCGUAAAAUAAAACGUUGACCGCCACUUGAAUUUGCAAUUGGUGGAGAUCCAACCAUUGGAUCGUAAUGAAACUUUAGUAUGAUGUUCUAGAAGCAUAAUGUGGAUCUUUUGAAGUUACGGAUCAAAAAUCUAAGUUGCGGAUCUUCCGGAUUGAGUUACGUAGGAUUAUGGACCCUACCGCCAACCUUUGACCGAUGAUUGAAUUUUGGUCAAUGGGUUUCAAAUCAUUCUAGAACGUCCUUAGGGGAUGUGUUUUAUGUAAGUUACGUGUUCUAUCGAUAAGAAUUCUAAGACGUUAUUUGAUAUUUAUUCUAGGCGACGAUUGUUCGUGAUGCCUCGAUAUUCGUGCUAGGGAGUUGUAGCCCGGACCUCAGGUGAGUGGGUCUUUUUCUUUUUAUAGUGUAUAGAUAGAUAUAUAUAUAUAUACACACACACACACACACACAUAUAUAUAUAUAUGGUUGAUAGUUUCCACAAAUGAUUUUGAAUUGAUUUAUGCAUAUCAUGCUAUGAUUAAAUAUUGUUAUUAAAAACUUUGCAUUGUUAUGAAAUUGUGAAAUGCCAAACGAUCCUACGGGAUGCGCAGGUUUGAUCAGGUGAGUUUAAUUUGUGAUUGGAAUUGUUGCACCAUAUUGGCAUGCAUAAAUUCAUUUAGUGCUCAUCAUUGUUGCACCCCAGUGUUAGUCAUCCUGUCCUGGGCCAGGGCACAGCCUUCACGUGUAUGUUCACCUCCCGCAUCGCACACUUACCUUGGAUCCAAGUAGGUGCUAGCCUAUCGUAUAGACUCGAUUAGGCAGUUUGAUGCGAAAAUUAACUUAACACACAAAUUAAACCCUCUUGUUGUCAAAUUGUAGUAAUAAUGCAAGUAUGGAUCGUUCUAAACCGAGGAUUAUGAGGGCUUGCUAAAACCUCUAAACUAACUCAAAAACAUAAAAACAAAGUUAAAAACAUUUGAAUAGACUUAAAGAACUCAAAACAGGUUCACAAGACUCAAAAUAAUUUAAAGACACUCGAAACUGCCUAAAAACACAAACUAGGCAGUUUCUGACUCUAACACAACUUUGGACGAAAUUUGGGUUUUGACUUGACUCAGAACACUCUAAAACACAAACAAAACAUAUUUUAAACACUUUGAAACAAGAAAGUAAAAGGGGGAUUUAGUUUUGAUGAAUUUGAAACAAAUAAACAAGUUAUAAAACUAGGCAGAUUGUAAAACGAAUUUAAGAAAUAAGAUAAUGGAUGGAUUAGUUAGAGGUCCGUUCUUCACACAUGACACACUUGUAUAUGAAUUGAUUUCCAAUUGCUUUUCAAUAAACUAUGAUGCUCAACACCCCAGAUUAAUUAGAUACGCUUAAAUUAAUCCUCAGAUUUUCCUAAUUUCAUUGAAUUGGAUGAUUGCAUACAACAACCCAAAGCAUUCCCCACAAGUUCCCUACAUGAAUUGCAUAAUAGAGAUACAAGCAAGAAUCAUUAAGUUCUAUGAAAAUCAUAAGCAUUGACGAAACACUUGUAACUAUGAAUUGCAUGAAACUUAUGCCAAGAAUUCAAUUAACGCGAUUGUGAUAAACAACCUUCACUACUCAUGAAUAUAAACUUGUAACGAUUAGGUGAAACUCAUUUAUAUUCUAGCAUCUAAUUCAUGCAUGAAAACUAAGUAUGCAUGAAAACUAAGUAUGCAUCCUUAAAUAACAUACAAGAAUCAGUUAUGAAUAAAAUAGAUAAUUGAAUUGCAAUCACAACUUAUCAAAUCACAAUUGGAAGAAAUCAAUUUAAAUCUCAAGCAUGUUCAUGGCUUCAAACUUCCCCCUAACUAAAUAGUGGUUUAGCCACUCAUAAUUGCAACAAAAUUAGAAAAUAACAAAGUAGACAUUGAAAGCAAGAACGAAGUACACCUAAAACGCUCCAAAGUUCCAAGCUUGAAACGCCAAGGGCCUUUGUUUUCACCACCUUGUUGUAGCAUAAGUGUCUAGGAUGUGUAUGGAUAUAUGGAUAGAAUGGAUUUGCAUGACAUAGAAAAUGGAAAUGUAUGGAGAUGUGUUUGAAUGUAUGGAUGAAAUGGAAUGGAGCUCAAGGCAAGGGACUUGUGUUUGUGAAUGAAGCUCUUUUGAUGGAUCAAGAUUGUCGUUCUUUGGAAGGGGGGUGGUGGAUGUAUUUAUAGGCUAGGGAGAGGACCACUCCAUUUCCUUUGCAUGUGCAGAUUGCAUGGGUGUGUGCUGUCCAUGUUUCUCCUUUCCUUUUCCACCCAUUUUCUGAACCUUUCAGUGUUACAAUGCCCAUAACCUCUUCUAGAAAAAUGAUAUUAACAAUCCGUAAAUUGUUCUAGAAAAUAGACAUCCGUAGCUUUCCAGGCAUAUAAGGCUCAUUCUCUCAUUCAUUAUACGAUGUUCGUAACAUGCUUUCAAAGUCAGCUAAUCUGCACAGGCAGUUUUGACGAAUUUGUUGGCUGUCCAUGUUUCUCCUUUCCUUUGCAUGUGGUUGUGUCUUCUCUUUCUAGCUGUGCAUUUCCACUUGAUCCAAAGCCAAAUGAGUGCAAUCAUAACCCCAUUUGCUGCUGAGUGUUGAUGACAAAGCAAAACACAAAACAAGUGCCUUUACUUUCUCAUUUUAUUAGCCAAAUCCGCUUAGCCCUUUUCUAAACCUUUAAGUGUUACAAUGCCCAUAACUUCUUCUAGAAAAAUGAUAUUAACAAUCCGUAAAUUUCUCCAGAAAAUAGACAUCCGUAGCUUUCCAGCCAUAUAAGGAUCAUUUUCUCAUUCAUUAUGAGAUGUUCGUAACAUGCUUCCAAAGUCAGCUAAUCUGCACAGGCAGUUUUGACGAAUUUGUUGGUUGUCCAUGUUUCUUCUUUCCUUUUGCACACACAUGCUUCAUCAUUUCAGCCAAAUCAACACAUGUUCUCCAUCACAUGGCAGCUAUGAUGUUUGUUAGUUGUAGGUCACACACUUGCACACACAUAUGUUGAAUUCUAAUCUUCCCAAAACGUCCAUCCUCAUGUCUCCAAGUGCAUGCAAUCCAUUUCAGCCCAAAAUUGCUCCAAAAUGCACCAAAAUGCACUUUUCUUGCCAACUUUGUUAUUAGGACCUAACAACAUACGAAAAUGGCUUAAAACACUCUUAUAAGCAAUAACUAACUAAGUAAGUGCAAGAAAACAUGUUAACUAAGUCGCAUAAAUAUGCUCCUAUCACAGUUCCGACUCAUAGAUGACCCACGAUUUAUCGCUAGCCAUCACGUGAUCAUAGGACUAAAGCGUAUAUAUUUACACCCAGCUUGUCGUACAGGUCACACUAGGUGACUCCGACUCGUGUGCUAGCAUAGACUGAUGAGCAAUAGGUCCAUUCAUACAUGUCACAUUAGGUGACUCCAACUGGCACGCUAGUUGAUUAUUCACACCUGACUUACAUUUAUUUUUAUUGAGAUAUUGUGACAUGGCAUGCUUUUGUUGUCACUGCUUUUAUGCAUUGGUUCUUUAUGUUUACGUAGUGUUAUUUUCUGGAAACUAUACAUGUUUUACGGCAAGGGGUUAUAAUGUUUUCAUUGAAACUUUAUUUUUAGGCCCACUCAUCCUUGUUUUUCAUCCCUCCAGGUUUUAGCAGCAGAACUUUGUAUCGACGAGGAUUCUUGGCAAUUCUCAAUAUAGGUGGCUACCUUUGAGGGUAUAAUCAUUAUCCUAUCUUACUGUAUUUCACUUAUGCUCUGACAUCACGUGUGAAAUGGGUUCAUUCUCGCUCAUCGCGCACUCUUGUAUUUAGGCACUUUUAGGUUUAAAUUUAUUCACAUUUUCCAUCACACUACACUUUAUAACUUCGUCACCUUCCAGGUGUCGGCCAGCACAACAUGAUUUGGAGUCCAAGUAGACAUUCCGGAUCGAGGUGUGUCAUUAUCCUUGUUGAUCUAGUGGAGUUACACAAUGACAAUUACUUUCCAAAAGGGCAAUUGCCUUACUCCAACGAGUGUAACUGCUCUAAAGUAUCUCAUUUAGCAUAAAGAAUUAUGAGUAAAUGGGCUUAAACUUUGGUGCUCUCAAGUAGUCCAAAGUCUCAAUUAAAGAGCUUUUCAUAGGGUUUAUAGAGAUUGGCAACCUUCCACAAAUCAACUCCUCUUAAAUCGUAUGUAUUGGUUCCAUAUGAACUUGGUUGGUGUAAGGUUUAAACAAACGUUUUCGAAUGAUUCAUGUCUAUGUAGCCAUUUGCAAUUCACCUCAAUCAUUUAAUCAUUUCAAAUUCCUCUAUUUAAUAUUGCACAAUGCAUUUCUAACUAAAGUAGCCUAAAUUCAUUGGUAUUUGAUAACCUUCAUUCAAAUACAAUAAUAAAUCUAGUAUUGUCUCUAGCAUUGGUUUUAGCCUUCGGGUCUUUCACGUGAGAAGCAGUUAUAUGAGACGGGUUCAUCAUUACAUGAUUUUUUUUUAUCUAAUAAUGUGUUGUUAUGUAAAAGUUUUUCUUUACAUGGCAACAUAUUAUUAUAUUGAGACAUCAUGUCAUGUAACAGUAAACUCAUUUCAUAUAAAUUGCUCAUUUUUUUUACUCCAUUAUCCUUUUUCGCUUGGGCACCAUAAAGAAGUCAUCCAAUGAUCGAUGAUCAUAAAAAUUAAUAAAAAGAUAAUCUUUAGAAUUAAAGUGGAAUUUGAAAUGGAAUCAAAUUUGAAUUGAGAUCCAAACCUUCGUAUUAAACUAGAACAAGUUCACUAAAUAAAGGUGAGGCCAACCACCAACCAAUAUUUAUACAAAAAUAAUCGCAUUCCACUCCGACCCUACCGAAUUCUUCAGGCCAUUAACCACCAUUGAAUAAACAGUACAGAAAAUCAUAAAGUAAUUAUGCUCUUAAACCGAAAAGAAAUCGAGAGUAAUUAAUAAUUAGUGCCAAGAUAUCAUUAAUAUUAUUUUUAAGGAUUCGGACGCGUAUAGUGAUAUAUUCUAUCAUUACGUCUCUCAGAUUCCGCAUCGAUUGGUGCGAGAUAUUCUAUCGUCAAUGUUUCUCGGACACUUUCUUGUUAAACCCAUUUACUACAACUAGGGAUUAAAUUUUUUGCCAAAUUACCAACCAUAUUAUACUAAAGUUCUGUAAAAAAAUUUGUAUCAUUGGUAAUGAUACGAUAUUUGUAUCGUACCAUACAUUUUUGGAAGAUAAUAGUAUUCAAAAUCAUUACCAAUUAUAUACCAUACUGUAACACUACUAUUAAUAUUAUAUAAUUUAUUUAUUCAUUUAUAUAUAUUUACGUAUUAUUAUAAUUAUAUAUGCACUUUAUAUUUUUUUUCCUAGUCAUUUAUCCAAUCAUCUCACAUUCUAACCUCUACUUUCCCAAUAAAAAAACAUAAGCCUUCUUACGCUGCGACUCUUCAUCUUUUCACUCAUCUAGCCACCGACUUCAUCUAUGUUGCUCUAGUUUCGGCGACUGUCUCUCCGGAGUCCACCUCAUCUUCUCCUUUAUCAAAUUGGGAUGUCUUUCUCCCUGGCUUUGUCUAUCAAGUUAAUUUUUGUUUAAUUUUAAAGAAUGUAAAGAUGAAAUUUAAGAAUCUUUGUACUAUUUUUUUAGGGAUAUUGGGUUCUUUGAGCAAUUCUUCCAUCUGUUUACUUCUUUGUUUCUUUAAUGAAUCUUUAUAAAAUUCUCAUAAUUAAAUAAAAAAGUUUUAGAAACCCAAAAGGAGUGACCCAAACACGUUUGGGCCUUGAAUUGGGUUGGAAAAAAAAUCAAAUUUUGGCCCAAAAGAAUGACCCAAAACAAAGUGGUAAUUACCAUUACCAUAUCAUGUCAACCGAACUAUUUGGCAUGCCGAAAUUUGGUAUAUCGAAAGUUUGGCACAGUAAUGAUAAUAGAUUUUAUCAUACCAAAAGUUUGGUACGGUAAUUGAUACAUGGGUUUUGGUACGAUAAUUGUACCAAUACCACCCCUAACUACAACUAUCCAAUCAAAGACUAAUCCCGUUUCAUGAGAGAAUUAUGACUAAUAUCAAUUUCACGAGAAAUUUUUCAAGGUGACAGGAACCCACAUAACCAUGGACACUUUAUGUAUCCAUUUAAUCGGAGGAUGUCACAUGCCUAACCGAAGAAUCUACCUAAUUUAUUUUUAAUGAAAUUACGCUGUCUGUUCUAUUAAUAAAUCCACAAGGUUUAUCUUUUAAAAUGUUAAUUAAAUUAGAACUAAAACAGAAAAAUAAAAAUAAAAAUCUCCAAUCCAAAUAACCCCGUCCCCGGCGAGACACACCACCCCCGAUCCCACCACCACCACCUCUGAUCCCGUUCAAAUCUGGUACCGCCACCACCUCCCUCUCUUGCUCUUCCUCAUAGACGAACAAUAACAGGCACAGUGGCAGACGUCGACGCUAUUCUACCCCUCCCCGAACCCAUGCGGACCAUCUUCCUCAUUGUCAUCUUCAUCAGCAUGAUUUUCAAGUUUUUCUUUGACGUGCUAUCUUUGCUUCUUGUUGGGUUUUUUUGUAAGAUGUAAUCUGAAAAUCAACAAGUUACUAGGAUUACAGAUAUAACAAAUAUAACUACAAUAAAUCAAUCAAACAAUUAAAGGGAAAUAAACUUAUCUUCCAAAGCAGAGGAAGAAGACGCUAUGACUGCUAGGGUUUCAUAGGUUGUCUUCUACUUCCAGUACUUCAAAAUGUCUCUCUACCGUGAAUAGGGUUUGGCAUGAUUGAGAGUACAAGCAUAUGGAAGCAGGAACUUAACUGUGGUAUUUAUAUCAUUAGGGUUUUCAUCACAUCCGACCUAUCAUUGGCUAUGAAGAUCUACCCUAUCUCUCUAGUAUUUAAGUCCCACCAUGAUACGAUACCUUUGUAAUAAAUCUAUCAGAUUUCCUCUAGGUUAAUUGCAAGGGACAAGACUCCAUAAUCCUUAUUAGGUUAGGACUAUCGGAUCACUUUGGUUGCUAACCACUCGAUAGACAAUUGGCUUACAACAAAAAGAUCCAAUACAACAUUCAUUGUCAUUCACAAUCUUAUAUUCUCCCACUUGAAUGUCAAUAAUUCAUCCUAACAAAAUAAGAACUCAUUGUGAUCACUGAGUCUUCAUAAGUAUGCAAUAACCUUUCCUAGCAACCUGUCACUUUGAAUCGAAUGCCGAACCAAAGAAAAACAAAGAACAACUUGGUCUGUUCCUUGCACUCCAAGAUCACAUACACAUUCAACUUAAAGCACUUUGUUGCUAACAAAGUCAUGGUGUCAAGAGCUAAUAGUCAAAACAUUAGCUCACAAUAGUCAAACUGAAAAUAUGAAAAUAUAUUUCAGUACAAAAGUAGUUCACAAAAGAACUCAACAACGUUGGUAACAACAUCCAACUUCUCUGUCAAUUUAGAAUAUGAUAAGAGAACAAGUAAAAUAUGACAUACUAUUUACAAAAUCAGAACCUCUUAUUAAAACUUAUGAACAAAACUUAAACAAAAUUUACUCUUAAAAUAUCAGCCACUAACACUUCAAAAUUUUAACACAAAAGGUAAUCUCUUACUCCCACUGAUUAGUAGAGAUAAACAAAUUAUUACUCCCACUGAUUAAGAGAGUAAAAAAAACUUUAUAAAUGCCUAUAAAAUGAAACUGACACCUUUCAAAUACUCCCAUUAGCAAAACAUUAGUCAUGGGAUCUAAAACAUAAAAUUUGUGAGCUCAACAUCUUUAUUUUAGAUAUUUGUAGGGAAGUGAUUCUCGUGACUGAAAAACUAUACAAAAUUAUUUGGUCAGUUUUGUUCAUCUAACAAUUGACAGAAAUAGAAAACUUUAACUGAAUGUUUUCUAAUGCAUCAAAAGCAUAUAAUUCUAGAAUCAUCUUUGGAUAGAAACUAAUUAUAUUAGGUUUGUAUAGCUAAAACAUAAAAUACAAGGGCAAAUGUAUAUAGCUUCAACACUUUUGAGCAGAUGAAGUAUAUGCAAUCUUGUCAAUUUCAUGUUUCACCAUACAUUGAUUUAUAGUUGUACUGAAAAAGAAAACACUUUUGAGCAGAUUAAUUAUUCAUCAAUAACAUAUAAAUCACAAGUCCAAUUUCUUGAACAACAUACAAGAAUUAAUAAGCAAAACACUUUUGAGCAGAAUAUACUCAUUAACCCUUCUUGAAUUUCCUACAAGAUUAGUUGCAUAUAUAACAAAUAAAAUAUAAAUAAGUAUGAUAAUGUACGUUUUAUCUACCAAAACUAUGACCAUUAAAAGCAUGCAAAAUUGAUGAGUGUGAAGCCCAUAAUACAUUAUUUCUCCCACUUGGGCAAACACUCAAAAUUGCAAGAUUAAACACUAGAGAAAGUGAUUUUCAUUUAACAAAAUAUAUGCAAGUUGAAUCAAUCAAGAUCAAAUACAUAAUUUUUUUUUUUAAAGUAGGUUAGAAUUAAAAAGUUCCAUAAAUAAAAACUUAUGCAAUGACUACAAAUUUUAUUUUAUUUUAGUGUAUGAGAGAAGACUCACAUAUGUGUUAAAGAUUAGGUCAUCAAUUAAAAUGAAACCUAAUAAGAGAAUCUGUUGAUGCACAAAUAUCAGCGAGGACUUUGGUACAACAGAAAGUGUCAGGUUGUGACCUUCGCUUGGUUGCUUCGAUCACUUUUGAAGAUAAGUACGUAAAUGAAUAGGGACAGGGAAGCAAACACAAGAUGUACGUGGUUCACCCAGAUCGGCUACGUCCACGGAGUAGAGGAGUUCUCAUCUACGAUGCAUGGACACGGGGAAAACUCAACGUAUCCCGUAUCUGACACGCAGGGAUACGGAUACGUACAAAAUACGUAUGGAUACGCGCCCGAUACGUAUCGGAACGAAGGUAUACGUUCUUUAUUACCAAGAUACGCGUAUCAUAUUGUCGAGAUACGCGUAUCAUAUUUUUCGGAUACGUUUCAAGCAAAAUCAGAGGAUAAUCAGAAAAAAAAUCCAAUAGAUCCGCACAGAAUCGUGAUUGAUUCGAAUUAGAUAACUUAAACGAUUGUUUAACUAAAAACCAAAACGAUUUCGAACCUCAGAAAUCAGACUCAUCUGCAAUUGCUCCGUCCGUCCGUCGUCUCUAUCGUCUCCGUCUGCAACUGCUCCAUCGUCUCCAUCGUCUCCGUCUGCAACUCCUGGUGAGAGCCUUCGACUUUGUUUUCACUUUGUUAAUUUUGAAGCUCAAUCUGAUUGCAGAACCCCUCUGAAAUUGAAAGAAACAUGCUGCUCUGUUUUUAUUCGAAGCUAAAAGCCCCAUUUCUGCUUUAAGCCAUUGACUAAUUCAAUGUAUCUGUUAUGCAAAAUUGAAAAAGCCAAAACCCAAUUUUGCUUUCUGUAUAAUAUAUUAUUUUGAUCUUCGAAGAUCAAUCAAUGGGGUCAGAUGGUGUGCAAUCAGUAAUCACUUAUCUGUUAUACAAAAUAAUAUUAUAUACAAAAUACUCGUGCCCACUUUUGCUUUCUGUAUAUAAUAUUAUUUUGUAUUUUGUAUAUUAUAAAUAAUAUACUAUUGUGCUUUCAUGAUAUUUAGAUUAUAAUAUUUUAUGGAUUUCAUGAUGUAUUUUUUAAUCUCUUAAGUUAAUAUAAAUUUCUCGUGUAAUAGUCUCUGUCUAUACAGUGGAUUGACUCUUAUUGUUUAUAUAUUUGAUUCUUACAAUUUACAUGUUGAUAAUUUAGGAAAAUGAAUCAUCCUGAUAAUCAUGCGAAUGCUAAUGUCAACCUAGUUGAGAAUGUUGAAAAUGAUCAUGGUACACUAUGGAAGUAUGUCAAAAAGCUCGAAAGAGUGGAAAAUGGAAGAGGAGGUAGUGUGUUUCAAUGCAACUAUUGUCAAAAGAUUUUCAGAGGAUCUUACUCUAGGGUCAAGUUUCAUUUGUUAAAAGUGUCUGGAAAUGGGAUCGUCUCUUGCAAUAAGGUUACUGAUGAAGCUCUUGCAGAAAUGAAAAAGCUAGCUCAAGAAUGAGGGACUCUUUCUUUUUAUUUUUUAAGUCGUUUGGAUGUUCUUUUUAGUUUUUCAAGUUUGAAGACUAAUUUGUUUAGUGGAUUAUCUUUUAAAUGUUUGAAGUUUAUCGAAAUAAAUUUGAACUUGAAUAGUAUAUUUGAAUGCUUAUUUUAUAAUAUUUAGAUAUAUUUAUUUAUUUAUAUUAUUUUUAAUUGCCGUAUCCUUGCCGUAUCGUGUCUUCAUUUUUAGAAAUUUGACGUAUCCCCGUGUCGUGUCGUAUCGUAUCUCCGUAUCCGUGUCCGUGUCCAUGCAUCAUAGGUUCUCAUUAAUUGUGAAGGGUUUACACAAAUACAUAGGUUCAAGCUCUCAUUUUGUGAGUUCUAGUGAAUAGUUUAGUACAAAAUGACAUUAGAGAUUAUUGUGGGAGAAUGAUCCCUAUUUAUAGAAGAGAGUUUCUAGUUUUGUUCUAACAUUGACACGUGUUGUGUUGUGAUUGGCUUCUGAUGUUGACACAUGUCGAGCUGUGAUUGGCUUCUGAUGUCGACACGUGUCGCAUUGUGAUUGGCCUCCUGGUUGAAGGGAAGCUCUUCUGGUCCUUGACGGUAUAACGUUGACCGGUGCUCAGUAGUUUCGGGAUUGGUCAAGUAUGGUACAAACAAAAUCCAAACUCAAAAUUUAUGUUUUAAUUCUAAAACAAAGUCGAGUAAAAUAAACACUUAGAUAUCUCAACAACAACAAUUUUUUUUUUUUAAUAAUUUUAAUCCAAUUUAGAACUCACAGAAAAUUAAGGCAAAAGAUUGGCAAAUUUACCUACUCAUUCUUGAUUCUGCGAGAUUCAUCAUGGAAUUAGUCGAGUUGUGGAGGAUCGAACCAACUCCAAAUUGCAUGAUUGUUACACCUUCGGGCAGAAACUAAUCAUGCAAAGAAAAUACCUGCAUAGCUAGCCAAAACAUAAAAUACACAAAAUACAUAUAGCUUCAACAGCUUUGGCCAGAUGAAAAUAUGUUAGAAGUACUUUAUGAUAUAAUACUAUUUUAUAAUUGGUGAGUGAUUUCCUGAAAUUCCCAUUGGGACAAAAGUAUUCACCAUAUAAAUUAGAAUUCUGAUUUUUCAAAAUAAUCCUUUAGAACAGUAUUAAAUAACCGUUUUGUUGGAUAUUCAAUGAUUCUCAAAAGAUUCAAUCAGACACAAAAGUAUGUCAUUAUUGACAUUGAACAAUAGAGUUCUCGAAAGAGGAAACAUGGUUAUUCAGGUAUUCGAUAGAGACCAAAAUGAUCAAUUAGUAAACUAAUGCCACUUUCCAAUUUUCUCUCAAAAGACAAUCAUCAUAAUCAGAAUUGAUGACCAAACAAAACAUUGGUUUAAGCAAAACAAACCAAUACAUCUUUAAAUCAAAAUUUAAUCAGUGUUGUCUAUAUAAAAUUCAUUAGUAUUGAGAAUUUGCAUAUAAUAAGGACAUAUCGGAACCAUAACCUUGUAUAAUAAUCGGUACCAAUAGAUGUGCACAAAUUAGUGAAACAAUAUCACAUAACAAAACUAGUUUUGAAGUACCAAAAUUCAGCAGUACUACUUUAGUUUGCAAAUUCACUAAAAACUCAAUUCUCUUUAGAUUGUCCUGAAAAUUUUCAAGUAUGAACUAGACAUAUAUGACUACUAUUUCGAAAAAUUUCAUGAUUUUUAAAAUCUUAUAAGUGAGCCAAAAAUGAAUUCGAAAAGAGAGGUGCUACAGCAUUAAUAUGUGUAUUUGAUAUAUCAAAAUCUCCUUUUUAAGAUAAGAAAACAAUUUAAAAAUGACACCAAAAUGGCCACGGCAUUAAUAUGUGUAUUUGAGAAAUUUCCCAAAAGCACUUGAGUCUCAACUUUGCAAUUUUAUGUUUGAAGAUAAAAGUCACAAAGGACAAACGUAGCAAACAUAAAUUGUAAUAUUAUAUAUAUUAUAUUAAACGAAGGAUAAAUUAGACUUAUUAAUCCAACAACUCAUAUUUGAUUUUAGAAAAGAAAGUCUCAACAUUAAUUGGUCCCAACCAUCAGUCAUAGAAGCAUAAGAGAAAAUCAAAAGUUACCAAAUUCUUAUUCCUGAAGAGGGAUGCUUCCAGGCAUAACGAUAGAUGGAAGCGUAAAUCAACUUAAUUAAUAUGUAUGGGAAAGUUAGUUUGCAAAGCAGUUGGACUUUAUAUUCAAAUUAGUUUAACUAAUCAACUAACACACCAAAGUGGCCAUACCAUUAUUCUUGUAAACCAUUACUCAAAAAUAUGCAGCAAACUGGAAUAAAUGAAAUUAAAUGCAAUUGAGGAAAAUCCUCAAAGCCUCAUUCUAGGCAUUAGGAAUGAAGGCCGAGAAAACAUAAAAUGUGAACAUGAUAUAAGAUCACAAUGGCUCACUCAAGUUAUCUCCUAAUGGCAAGUGAUUCACAUUGAAAAAUCUUCGAAAACAACCAAAAUUUUAAACCUGAUCAUUGACACGGUGCGCUAGGAGAAAGAAGCAUGCAAAAUAAUUAUUAACUUAAAAUGGGAUUCCAAAACAAGGAACCCUAACCACUGCCCAGGAGCAACACAAAUGCCAACCAAGCGGAUCAAAACCAAUCUUGAUAUUAAUCAUGUUAAAAAAAAAUAACAAUAGUUAAAUUAUUUAUAUGCAUAUGUGCCAAGCCUUCGAACUUUAAAUCCAAUGCAAAAUUAUAUAUAUAUAUAUAUAUAUUUGAGGUAUAGCCAUAUAUAAAGCAAUCAAAUUUGCUUCUUAAUUAAUCAUUAUCUCGACAUGGCUAAGAAAACUUAUCGUUAAGUUUUCCCAUGAAAGCCAAAACAAAACCUUUUUUUGAUAAUUACAUGAGAAUCAUGAAGUUAGAAAAGUAAUUAUAAAAAUACUCUAAAAUUAAGCGGAAGCCUCAGGAUCGAUAAGUAAAAGACCUUUAACUAAAACACAAACUAAUUGUGCCUUCAGUUUGUCAAAAAUUUGUUCAAACAGAUUACCUUUAAUCCGAACCCUCAAGCUUUGCAAAUUUCUUGGCAGAUUUGUAUCUACAGACAAAAUAAUACAACUACACGCAGAAGUAAUUUCUGCAAAUGGGUCAAAUUAAAAAUAAUAAUAAUAACAUCUAAAUAAUUAUUUGCAAAGCCAAUAUGAUAAUCAAUCCACAUAUUGAAUUAUCAGCAAUUAAAUCAAUGAAUCGUAUUAUUUGCAGAAGCUUUACACAUUGUAAAGGAUAAAAGUGAUGGCAUGAUACGUUACCAUUAUAUUCAAAACCAACCAUGAUCGAAAUUCUGAAUCUUAGACGAGUUGAGUGGCUCUGAUACCACAUGUAAGAUGUAAUAUGAAAAUCAACAAGUUACUAAGAUUACAGAUAUAACAAAUAUACUACAAUAAACCAAUCAAACAAUUAAAGGGAAAUAAACUUAUCUUCCAAAGCAGAGGAAGAAGACGCCAUGACUGCUAGGGUUUCACAGGUUGUCUUCUACUUCCAAUACUUCAAAAUGUCUCUCUACUGUGAAUAGGGUUUGGCGUGAUUGAGAGUACAAGUGUAUGGAAGCAGGGACUUAACCAUGGUAUUUAUAUCAUUAGGGUUUUCAUCACAUCCGACCUAUCAUUGGCUGUACCAAUCUACCCUAUCUCUCUAGUAUUUAAGUCCCACCAUGAUACGAUAUCUUUGUAAUAAAUCUAUCAGAUUUCCUCUAGGUUAAUUGCAAGGGAUAAGACUCCAUAAUCCUUAUUAGGUUAGGACUAUCGGAUCACUUUGGUUGCUAACCACUCGAUAGACUAUUGGCUUACAACAAAAAGAUCCAAUACAACAUUCAUUGUCAUUCACAGUCUUACAUUUUUCUGAUAGGGCAUGAACUUGCAAGGCAGACGAGCACAGGAGUCGACUCAUUGAGUUAAUGGCGGCACGAGUUAGAGAUUGUAGUGGGGAAGACGGAUGAAAUAGAAUUUGGGAGGAGCGGGGAAGACAGAUCGGCCGCCAGGGAGGGGCGCUGUCAUUGUGGGUUGUUGGCUCGACUGUCGAGAUUUCUAUUAUUUAGUUUUAUAUUUUAUUUAAUUGAUUUUCUUAAAAAUUAAAUCAGGUAGACUUUAGUGGGGCACGUGACAUCCUCCGAUUAGAUGGGUAAACAAAGUGUCUAUUGUCACAUACAAGUAUAUGGAUUAUGAUGAUCUCCCAUUCUCUUUCCAUUCCCUUCCAUCAUUCUUUUCAUAUUCUCUAUUUUGUCUUUCUCUUUCUAUAAAAAUAAUAAUAAUAAUAAUAUAAGAUGUUGAUGUGGCUUAACCGUGACCAUUCAAAUAAGAGGGGAGGGUAAAAAAAAGGGAGUAUUUUUGCUCAUCACCAUUUAGUGUGGUAUAUGCUCACCACUUUAUUUAUCACUAUUAGAUGAGUUUGAAUUUCGAAUUGGUGUAGUAGAUAGGUAUAAAUCUCGAAAUUCAAACUUAUCUAAUGGUGAUAAAUAAAGUGGUGAGCAUAAACCACACUAAAUGAUGGUGAGAAAAAAUGCAUUCUAAAAAAAAGAGGGGAGAGAAUCCUUCUCCCAAGUAUAUACCACCAAUGGUGCAAAGGAGAAAGGACAAUGUGAGGAAAGCUAAAAUUUUAAAUUAAAUUUACAAAUUAAAUAAUGUGUAACAAAAAAAAAAAUUAAUGUGCUUGAAACACAAAGUUGUACACCAUGUGUCUCUAACAAGUGGUGAGAUUCUUGUGUUGAAAAAAUAAUAACAUAAAACAUAAAAUUUCCCACCACUUAUAUAAUAACACGUGUACCACUUGCAUUACGGGCAUAAGGAAAAAUUGCUAGUGUCACCAAUAGGUGCACGUUAAUCAAUACUUACAUAAUAAUUUAAUCAUCAACUACAUCGUUUGGUUUAAAAAUUUAGUAUCCUUAACAUUAUCCAAAGAGAAAUGCUAAGAGACUCAAAGGGUGAGAUUCUGCAAUUUCACGGUUUGAUGUUGAUUUGCAUGUCAAUGUAUAAAACAAUGUUGAUCCAAUCACACACAAGUAUAUACCACCAACGGUACAACUAAGGAGAAGUUUCGAACGAUCCCGCUACAUCAGGACCCUUUUAGAGCAUGUUUACGUACACGUAAUGGGAAUCAAAACAUGAAAUUAUAUUCCGAUUACGGACCAUUUCUAUGUUUACUAAAUUUUAAGGAAUCAAAAAUAUAGUGGGACCCACACAAAGUUUGGAAUUCAAUUCCUCACUUUGGAGGAAUUGGAUCCCUUGAUAGUAAGUGGUAUUUGAGUUUCGGAAGAAUGAGGGAAUGGGGAAUCCAUUUUUCAUACCCAUAAUGCCCUCACAUAAUUGCUGAAAUUCCAAUGAUAAAACAAGCACAGGUGCCCAGCGCUAGUCUGUUUCCUUCUCCCUCACUACCGCCCCCUUCCUGUCUUCCCAAGGCCACAUACCCACCAUCAUCUUCUUAGACAACAACGACAGCCAUAAAACAAGAAUAAGCGAAAGCUGAAGAAGAACCCAUUUUAGUUUUUUUUUAUUUUAAACAAUGCUAAAAACCAAACUCCGGACAUUCAAUCAACAUGAAAUACCCCGUAAACUAAACUUCAAAGAAAUUACAUCACCACAACCAACACUUCCCAUAGGCCUCAAACCAACCGUGAAUUUCAAAUUGUUGAAAGAUGAUUGAGGCAGAGAUAGAGAGAACGGUUGGGUUGGGGUUUGGGUUAGUUUUUUAUUUUUAAUUUUAUAUCAAUUGACUUGAUUUCCUGUAAGUUUUUAUAAAAUAUUUAUUUAUAAUAAAAGACAUUCUAGUAAUCAUACAAAUUUUCAUUCCGAUCAAGUGAAUUAGUAAACAACUUACAUUCAAACAAGACCAUUUAUACUCUGAUUCCAGAUUUAAUGGAAAUCUGGAUUUCAAUUCUCCUCAAUUCAAUUCAAUUCCCCCUCAAUCCAAUUCUGUCUAUUUUGAUUAAGGAUUAAUAAACGAACCCUUAAUGUUGAACAAAAGUCAGUACUUUACAUUAAGCUAGAACUAAAAAGGCUACUCCUAGUAGAAGUGACAGAAUUAUUGUUGAGUACGUAGCAAAAUUAUUAAGCAUUUGAGCUAGAACUGUUCGUACAUUUUUUAUCUGGCCUGGUCGAGCAGUGGUACAGCUACAGAGUACUAAUUUAUAUGCCUAACGUUAUAAAACUACAAUAAUAUUUCUCAAUUAUUUUAUAAUUUAAUUUGUUGACACUUCUCAACUGAAUUAUGAAAGCACCGCCGCGAGCCCAGGGACAAGAUACCUCGAGUCCUGACGCAUUCAGGUAUUGUCGCAUAGAUAAUCAUAAGUAAAGUUCCACCAGAGAGAACCAAAUUUGACGAGUUCAGCGGCUUAUACUUUUAUGGGUAUUUGUAGUAUGAUUUUCUUAGAUUUAUUAUUUACAUUAAACGUAUUCGUUUAAAUUUUUUAGAUUAGUGACCGAUUAAAUAUUCAAAUUUCAACUCAAAUCAGAGAUAUAUGAGAACGAACAACUUUUUCUCAAACACCAUUUUUUGUUCUUUGGGAACCAAAAUACAUGGAAAAGUAAAGAUAGGAGCAGCUUCAUCGAUCAAAAUUAUCGAGCACAAACACACACACCAAUACCAUCGAACUACCCGGAAACCAGAACCAGAACAGACCAUGACCCUAAAACACAACCAGAAAACGUUAACACUAACAUCUCAAAGUCCCAAACCACCUAUAACAC
rnacentral:lncRNA from 1 species